UACGUAGGUGGCAAGCGUUGUCCGGAAUUAUUGGGCGUAAAGCGCGCGCAGGUGGUUCCUUAAGUCUGAUGUGAAAGCCCACGGCUCAACCGUGGAGGGUCAUUGGAAACUGGGGAACUUGAGUGCAGAAGAGGUUAACGGAACUCCAUGUGGAGCGGUAAAAUGCGUAGAUAUAUGGAAGAACAUCAAUAACGGCGAAGGCAGUUAACUAUUCUGUUACUGACAUUGAGGCACGAAAGCGUGGGGAGCAAAACGG
rnacentral:rRNA from 1 species